rfam:Tribolium castaneum strain Georgia GA2 linkage group LG10, whole genome shotgun sequence.
GAUAUAGUGAGGAGUGGUAACUCCACCACCGUUGGCGUGUGUUGUACUGCCAGCGGUCGAGGAGUUCCUUAACCUCGCUGUAAU